rfam:Octopus bimaculoides Scaffold11144_contig_191, whole genome shotgun sequence.
GUACUGGCUUCGGUGGUACAUAUUCUACAAUUGGAACGACCCAGAGAAGCUUAGCUCCUGCACAAGCAUGACACAGAGAGUCGUGAAGCGUUACAUAUUUGU